GCCUGCCCCCUGACGGAGUUAAAUGGCCGCGGUAUAUUGACCGUGCAAAGGUAGCAUAAUCAUUAGUUUUUUUAUUGGAAGCUGGGAUGAAAGGUUUGAUGAAAAAAUUUCUGUCUCUGAAGGAAUUAAUUAGAAUUUUAUUUUUAAGUAAAAAAGCUUAAAUUUUUAUAGAAGACGAGAAGACCCUAUAGAGUUUUAUUUAUAGUAAAUUAUGAGGAUAAAGGUAUGUAUUUUUUUAUAUUUUGCUAUAAAUUUUGCUGGGGUGGUAGAAAAAUUUAUAAAACUUUUUUUUUAUUUGAAUAUUGAUGUAUAGAUCUAUGAUCCUUGAUUAUGUUAAGAUUAAAAGAUUAAACUACCUUAGGGAUAACAGCGUUAUUUUUUUUARAGUUCAUAUCAAAAAAAAARAUUGCRACCUCGAUGUUGGAUUAAAAUUUAUUGUUGGUGAARAGGCUAAUAARAUUAGGUCUGUUCGACCUUUGGAAUUUUACAUGAUCUGAGUUUAAACCGGUGUGAG
rnacentral:rRNA from 1 species